rnacentral:rRNA from 1 species
AGUGGCGAACGGGUGAGUAAUACAUCGGAACGUGCCCAGUAGUGGGGGAUAACCCGGCGAAAGCCGGACUAAUACCGCAUACGACCUACGGGUGAAAGCGGGGGAUCGCAAGACCUCGCGCUAUUGGAGCGGCCGAUGGCAGAUUAGCUUGUUGGUGGGGUAAAGGCCCACCAAGGCGACGAUCUGUAGCUGGUCUGAGAGGACGACCAGCCACACUGGGACUGAGACACGGCCCAGACUCCUACGGGAGGCAGCAGUGGGGAAUCUUGCGCAAUGGGCGAAAGCCUGACGCAGCGACACCGCGUGGGGGAUGAAGGCCUUUCAGGUCGUAAACCCCUUUCGGCAGGGACGAAGCGAUCUCGUGACGGUACCUGCAGAAGAAGCCUCGGCUAACUACGUGCCAGCAGCCGCGGUAACACGUAGGAGGCGAGCGUUGUCCGGAAUCAUUGGGCGUAAAGAGCGCGCAGGCGGCUUGGCAAGUCGAGUGUGAAAUCCCGGGGCUCAACCCCGGGACUGCAUCCGAUACUGUCAGGCUAGAGGUAGGUAGGGGAGAUCGGAAUUCCUGGUGUAGCGGUGAAAUGCGCAAAUAUCAGGAGGAACACCGGUGGCGAAGGCGGAUCUCUGGGCCUUACCUGACGCUCAGGCGCGAAAGCUAGGGAGCGAACAGGAUUAAAUACCCUGGUA